UCCUUGUGAGACUGUUAUGGUCCUAUCUUCACCUAUAGAGAUAGGAAAGGGAGACUGGAAGGACACAUGAGUACCAACCACACUGAGUGGUUUCACUCUCUCACAACCUACCAUGUUAACUUUCCCGGAGAGACGCAACCACAUGUCCACUCACCCAGAUGGGCACCAGUGACAACAAAGUGCAAAUUCACGAACAUCCGACGUGGUGACCCCGAUAACUUCACUGAGCUUUCCAAUAGGUCUAGACACCUACAUUGCCUCCAAGCCCCGACCCGUCCAUCCUAGGUGGAAUCUGCAUCAUAGAAUCCUGUUUUAAAUUAACCUUUCAUAUAUUCUAGCAUUUCCCAAUAUCACUCACAGCUGGGGGAGGGGAACCUCAGGUGAAGGUCUCAUGACCAACGGUUGGUCCCUUCCUCUAUCUCCUAGGGAGUGUCAAUAGCUCAGUUAUCACUGCCAAAGACCUACUGAACACCAUAUCCUUCUGCUCUGGUUGCUAUGGUUACUGAAGGCAAAGCCCAAGAUGGCUGCUGCCUUACAACUUGGUCCCAGAGACAACUCUUAAUCUGUAAGUAAGGGUGGAGCCUCCACAGCCCAGAGACCUCUCAUUAGACCCUGCUUCUUAAAGGUGUCUGUGAUUCAGCAAUCUCACACAAUAACCAAACUCACAGGAGCGUUCAGAGAAUACUGUGAAGCCACAACAGACCUACAACACAGUCCUUGAAAAUCAACUCAGUCACUAACGCCAUGCUGAGUUACCAGAACGAGUCCAAGAAUUUCAAGCUCUAAGAUGGAGAACGAGUCACUUCCCAGAUCCCAAACAACCAGAACUUCGCUGGAUAACAAGGCAAACGGAUGCACUGCCCAGCUUGCAGACGUAAAGGCCCGUAAGCUGCUGGGUGCUCUCGGUAAUGGGAGGUUCAGAAUGCAGUUGAUGGGUUAGUAUCGUUUUUAUUGUAAAAGCAAACUAAAUUAAACUGAUAGUUUUAAUUAAA